AAUCCACAACAGAGUUUCAAACGACAAUGCUCUACUAGCUAACACACAACUUUGCAACUUGUACAAGCAGCUGCAGAGAUAGACAGGUUUUUAUAACUCGCGGUUUGGAAAGAUACUUGGUCCAAAGAGAAGCGCUUCUGUUGUGAGCCAGGCAAGUUGUCAGACGAUUCAGGACAAGCUGCCACUGACCGCCUGUCAGACGACGCUCCCUUUGCCGCGCUUCCUUUCAAAGGGGCGUUGUAACCGGAAAACACUGGGCUUGGCUCGCCACUGUGUCGGAGAAUGCAUGCUCCAAAAGGAAAUGGGGCGUGGAGGGGCUGCAUCCUUUGAAGGACCUGGUCUACCCUGAUGAUGUGGCCUGGGACCUUCGUUGACUGCGAAGACCAGAAAAUCAAGGCAGACAGUAGCAAGCCUGCCAAAACCUGACCAUGCACCUAAAUGGGCGAGGAAACAGAGCAGCAGCCAGAAAGGCCGUGGUAACUCUGGGGGACCAGCAGAGAUCUCCAGCUCAGUGACAAAGACAAAGUGCCUGCGUUUGGAGCGUACAAGCGAGGGAGACAAGUGAUGGCUGAAGGUAGACUUUGGGAGAGCAUUUGAAUUUCAUGUCCAAGAAGAGGCAGCCCAUCAUUAAAAAACCCUAAUUUCUGUGUCAGGUAGAGUUACAGCUAAUCGAUCAUCUUGUCACACCGAUUUAUUUCUUUUUCUGCCCAUUCAAAGACAAAUCUACUUCUUUCCAAUUAAACUUGUUGCUGAAAAAGAAAAAUGUCUCGAGCUAUUAAAGGUACAUUUUGCUAUGUUUUUUUUUUUUUCCCCCCCCACUGAGGGUAAUUUCUUAGCAUCUGAAAAAAGAGGAGUCGCAGGGAGAUGCUGGCUUUCUGGCAAUUCCUAAAGAACUUACAAAACGCUGAUUUUGGAUGUCUGAAUGUACUUACGGGUCACAGAAUGGUUGUACAGUGUUUAUAAAUGAAAAAGAAAACUGAAACAGAAAUUGAAAAUAAAACAUAAAAACCUCGCACAAGUAUAAAGGGCAUAAUAUACAUUUAAGAUACUGGUAGUGGUGUGAUGUGAUAGGUCUGAUUGAUGGCUGAAGUCCUCUUGGGGUCUUAUUUUAGUGAGGGCUCCCCUACCCUGAUAGAUUCACUGAGUGUGACAUCUGUGAACGACGGCUUUCUUCCUGAUGGUGUGUGCCACCAAUGCAUUGGGACAUGUCUGCAUAAAAGCCAUUUAUUGUUACAUUUCUAAAUGUUAAGGCUUGUCAGCUUCAAUUUCUUGAAUGAACCCCUGCUCACCUGGUGGACAAAAGACUCGGGCAGUUCUACAGACUCCUAGAUUCUUUAAAUACCAUCGCUGACACUUUCCGCACCUCUCCCUUUCACAUAAAAGAAGGAGCUCUUUCAUCUCUGGAUCUACUUCGUCUAUAGAUUCAAUUCGACUAAAUGUAACUUAU